CAACCCUCAAGCCCUAGUUGCUUGGUGUUGGGAGCUUAUCUUCGGAUAACUCCUGAAAAGCAUCGGCGGAGUCGUGUUGGCCCCAAGCGUAGUAAUUUUUCCUCGCUUCAGGUGGUUCCAGCGCUGGCGUCCUGCCGCUAAACCCCCUAUUUUCUAGU
rnacentral:misc_RNA from 1 species